UAGUUUGAUGAUUUUUAUUGCUUGCUUUGUCUGAUUUCCUUUUGGAUAAUAAAGGCAUCUUAAGUCCUCUUCUGAGACAC